GUCAAAGUUGAAAUUAGCACAACACAUUGGACCAGCAUGGAGAAGGAACAACGAAAAAGUGUCGCUCGCUCUUCAAAACCACCCAAAAAGGAUGGGAAGAGUGUCACAAACCUCGGCAGAGGAAGCAAGAAGGAGAGAGGCAGCGAGGGAGACCCUGAGAGAGAAACUGGACCUGGAGAAGAGGGCUCUGCAGGUGGAGGAGGACUUCCUGGUUGACCGUCCUGAGAAACAUUGUGGGCCCCCUGCGUCUCACCAUGACUGACGUCUCCAGUGACCUCAACAACCUGGUCAGGACCUUCAGGAACAACGUGAUGUAAAUAUGAGACGGGCCCUCGUCCUUCGUGCACUUCCUGUGUACCUGCGUGAAGAUGCCUCCAAGUUUUUCAGGACCUGUAAUUCAGCAGAUGGUCCAGACCUCACUGACACUCCGGUGGCUCUCCUGACAGUUGUCACUGAUGAUACUACUGAUGCGGCCCUCUUCAGCCCUGAGAGCAUCUGUAUUGUCGUGGAAGAUGAAAUACUUGUGAGUGGUCCCACACACCUGGCUGACUCAUUUCUCCUGCUCUUUGGGUAUGUCUAUGCACUAGACCUACAGUACCCAAAGAAUCUUGAGCUUACAUUCACAUUUAUCCAAAAAGUUGUGAUGUGUCUUGAGGACAACAAACCACUGAAAGAGCGUCUACUGACACUGAAGAAUGAUUUGUUCAAUGAGUGAAUCACUCAGAAUGGACUAUUUGUUGAGCUGAGUAUUGAGGAUGUUUGUUUUUUUCCCUCUUUACAAAUGUAAUAAUUUGCCUCUUCUACCUCAUGUUUAAUAUGUUACACUGUUUGCCUCUUCUACCUCAGAUUUAAUACAUUGAUUGUUAAUAGAUAAAUAUCACAACAUUGAAGUAUUGCCAAGCCCAAGUUUUUGUACUGUACUUGUGGGAAACGACUGUUGAAUUCAUGCACUAUACAUGUUUAAUGUUGUGUGACCUAAUGCUUACCUUGAUGUUGCCAGUUGAAGUACGGCACAGUAGAAACCAGUACUUUUAUUUGAAUGUUUUAUUUUUAAAAAAAGUGAGUUGCAGCCUUCAAGGUACAGUAAGUGCCAAAACGUUUUAAAUGGCUCCACAUUCUAAUAGUUGUCAUUGCUGUUGAGGAUGGAUUAUAAUUAGAAUCUUAUUGAAUUUUUAUCAUGAAGCUUUUGUGAGUUUUUAUCAUAAUGUUUACUGAAUAAUGUGAUAUGGAGACCCAAAAUACUGAAUCUACCCUCUGUAGCAAUGACCACUAUCAGAAUAUGGAACUAUUAACACUUAAUGUACUUUAAAACACAUUUUGUUUUUAUGGAGUCAUUUCCUUUUUUGUUUUAAUUUAUGACAAGCACUUUGUUUUGACUGAGCUCCUUUUGAUUCGUGCCUUUUUAAAAGCACAUUGUGUUGAAUAAAAAAAAAGUUAAAUUGUCA